rnacentral:lncRNA from 1 species
CUUCCAGUUUCCCUAAAAGCUGAGUCCAGCCAAAAGGAAGUGUUUCAACACAAAGUUACUCAAGGUUGCUGUGGGCUGUUCUUCCCUCUGUUUUCCCUGGGCAAAGUAACGGUAAAACAAAGUCAACAAUUGCAGGAAAUUCCAUGUCUACUGGGUGGGAGCAGUGUGGAGGGGGCAUGUGGGGAAGUAUAUAAACCAGCAGCCCCACACAGCAGCAAUGAAACCGAUCUCCCUCACUUCAACUGCAAACCAGGUGUCUGUUUAAAGCCUUUCUACACAAAAUGAGGAACCUGAUCGUGUGUGUGCUCACCCUAGCACUGAUGGCACAAGCUGUUGUGUCUCUGGAGUGUUAUCAUUGCCCUAAUGGAGGAAGAUGCUUCACCACUCAGAAAUGCAGGGAUGACCAGGAUCAAUGUAUUACCAUGUUCUUCCUUCCCACUGCUAAAUACGCUAAGCGAUGCUCCUCGACGUACGAAUGUGAAGUCAUGAAGGCCAUGGGGGGGUCUGCACUAAAGGCCAUUUGCUGCAACACAGACCGGUGCAACCGAUAAACAGGAGCUCCUGCACUCUCAAGACCAACACCAGCAGGGUGUCCCUCUCCCCCUGCAGUGUGACUGGAAAUCCUCACUGAGGGGCCUUGCUUAAAUCUCUCUCUUUCACACACACACACAUAUUCUUCUUAUUUUUUCAGCAGCUGUACUAGUUACUCCAUGGAAAGCACUAAUAAUAAACGAUAUUACAGCCCCA